UACGUAGGGUGCGAGCGUUAAUCGGAAUUACUGGGCGUAAAGCGUGCGCAGGCGGUUUGCUAAGUCCGAUGUGAAAUCCCCGGGCUCAACCUGGGAACUGCAUUGGUGACUGGCAGGCUAGAGUAUGGCAGAGGGGGGUAGAAUUCCACGUGUAGCAGUGAAAUGCGUAGAGAUGUGGAGGAAUACCGAUGGCGAAGGCAGCCCCCUGGGCCAAUACUGACGCUCAUGCACGAAAGCGUGGGGAGCAAACAGG
rnacentral:rRNA from 1 species